UACGUAGGCAGCGAGCGUUGUUCGGAGUUACUGGGCGUAAAGAGUGCGUAGGCGGUUCUCUAAGUUUGGUGUGAAAUCUCCCGGCUUAACUGGGAGGGUGCGCCGAAGACUGGAAGGCUUGAGUAUGGGAGAGGUAAGCGGAAUUCCUGGUGUAGCGGUGAAAUGCGUAGAUAUCAGGAGGAACACCUGCGGUGUAGACGGCUUACUGGACCAUAACUGACGCUGAGGCACGAAAGCGUGGGUAGCAAACAGG
rnacentral:rRNA from 1 species